rnacentral:lncRNA from 1 species
UAGAAAGACGAUGAAAAUUCUUGCAAUUGGAUCUAAAAAUUCAAUACAUCAUGUAUAAAGCAGAUAGUACAGAAGUGAUUCAAACAAUGACCACAGGGUGGCACCCUAGCAUCAUGCAAAUGCAGGAGAAUCACACCUAGGUAAAAGCUGGGGAGGGACAUGAAGUUCAGGUAAAGUAAUUGCACAUUUGUUGAUGGUUGAUAAGUGUUUCAUUUUUUUUCCAUGUUCAGACCUCUUUUUCAUUUUAUUCUUUCAUAUCUGCCAACUUUUGCCAGUGGUCUUAAGAAGAAGGACUCCCCAUUUCCUCUGAAACACUAUCCCGUUCAGCCUAUCAUUUAUUUGCAACUUCUUGGGGAUGUUUCAGAAGCCUCCAGAGGGAAGGAAGAGCUACAGGAGUGAGCAGAGCAGGAAGCUUGUAUAUCUUUUAGACAAACAAACAAUAUGUAAGGAAUCCACAAGAUGAGUGUGGGCCACAAGACAUAAGGGGCGAACAAGUGACUAGGUAGAUAAAGACUAUUUAAACAUGGAUUGUUCAUACAAACCGUUCAGUCUCAAAUUCCCUGUCUUUGGGGAUAAGAAUGUCUUCUUUCCAUCCAGUACAAGGUGCGUAUCUUUCACAUUUUACAAAGGCAAACAUUAAUUUUCAGGAAGAAUACAGUCUGGAUUUAUCUGGAAGGAGGGAAUGUUUUUAUCCUCCACUGGCUCAUAAUUAGCCAGGUACUUUGCUAAGAGUGAUCAGAAAAUUCUUGUUACUUCCUGAAUUUAUGGCCAAAGAAAAGAGAAGACUUUUUGCCCCUGAUAAUAUUUUGCAGAGUUUGUUGGACACAAAGGAUUGUACCCCUUGAGUCUCCAACUUUUAAUAAACCCAUGUCUGAGCACAGCUAAUGAUAAAUUAAUUUACUUUGUCCAGGAGUGUGUCUGACUUCCCUGCAGCAUCAGAAGAGGGAGAGACAGACACCAUGAUUCCUGCCAAGAUGCUACUGCUCUUACUGUCAAUGGCUUUGCUGGCCUUGGGCUCUGCUCAGGGCAUCAGUGACGAUGAUGAAUUCUUGAAAGAAACCCCAGAGGAAUCACAAGUGAAAUCUCAAGAAGAAAAUGGAGUUGAGAACAGCAAGCCAGACAAAGAUGGUCCAGGUGGCCCACAGAGACCAGCAGGCCAACAAGUUCCAGGUGGUCAACAGCAACCAGGAGCCCAAAGUGGUCCAGGUGGCCCACAGGGUCCAGCAGGCCAACAAGGCCCAGGUGGCCAACAGCGUCCAGGAGCCCAAGGUGGUCCAGGUGGCCCACAGCGUCCAGCAGGCCAACAGGACCCAGGUGGCCAACAGCGUCCAGGAGCCCAAGGUGGUCCAGGUGGUCCACAGCGUCCAGCAGGCCAACAGCGUCCAGGAGCCCAAGGUGGUCCAGGUGGCCCUCAAAGUCCAGCAGGCCAACAGGGCCCAGGUGGCCAACAGCGUCCAGGAGCCCAUGGUGGUCCAGUUGGCCCACAGCGUCCAGCAGGCCAACAGGGUCCAGGUGGCCAACAGCGUCCAGGAGCCCAAGGUGGUCCAGGUGGCCCACAGGGUUCAGUGGGCCAACAGGGUCCAGGAGGUCAACAGGGUCCAGGAGCCCAAGGUGGUCCAGGUGGCCCACAGGGUCCAGCGGGCCAACAGGGUCCAGGUGGCCAACAGCGUCCAGGAGCCCAAGGUGGUCCAAGUGGCCCACAGGGUCCAGCAGGCCAACAGGGUCCAGGUGGCCAGCAGCAUCCAGGAGCCCAGGGAGUUCCAGGUGGCCCACAGGGUUUGGCAGGGCAACAUGGCCCAAGUGGCCAACAGGGCUCAGGUGGUCAAGGUAGUCCGGGUGGCCAGCGUGAUCAGCGUGGUGGCCAGUAACAAGGAAAACCAAGUAAAGAGGACCUCCUGUGAUUUCCUAGGUAUCGAUUCUAUUCUUACUCAAUAAUCUAGGGAAUUUCUUUUGAUGUUUCCUAAUUCUCUAUUCUUGUUUCUGUUUUUUCUUACCUAUUUUCUUUUACAUUUUUUAAAUUUAAAUUCAGUUUGCCAACAUAUAGUAUAAUACCUUGACUUCAAUCUGUCUUAAGCUCUUGUCCUUGCUGUGAUUCUCCUUGCUUCAAGCUAACCCAUAGAAAAAUCUCUUCCAUUAUAAGAGCAAAUGUUCUUUCCUCCAGAGUAUGUUUGUUUGUUUGUUUGCUUGUUUUUGACUCUAUUUCUUAUGUUAGCCUAUAACCUUCCCAUGUUCUAUCUCCUUUGUCAUCUACCACUUCUCUUCCCUUUACUCUCUCCUGGGCUGUUCCUCUGACAUUCCUCUUUUUUUCUCUCUUAAUAUGAUGUCUUGUAAUGUCCUCUAGUACCCACUAGGAGAAACACUGACAGAGAUCAUUUCCAGGCCUAAUUAAUAUUUCUGUCUAAAGUUUUUCUCUUUGUUUUAGAAAUUGAGAGAGAUCAACUGGUGACCAUGGAUUUUUCAGUCGUGUCCACGUGGCCUUCCUUCCUCUGACUUCAAAUUAUCAAUAAAGUCAUCAGCAUUAAAGCCCUGGCUCUUAUUUUCCUUCUAAGUCAUGGUUCUUAGUCAGUGGAUGAGAAGGACUGGUUGAAAGAUACAAAGCCCUGAAGGACUUCAAAUUUGUGUGCUGUGCAGAUUGACCUCACUCCGAUUACAAAGCAGAAACAUUUUAUUCUUGAGACUAGUAAGGGAGUUUGCAAGUUCAGACGACCAAUGUACACAUCCUUUUCUUAGCUUAGACAUAGAGGGAAUUACCUCGUAAACUCAUCUGACUUCUGGUAGUCCUUCCAACUAUGGGAGCUGUAUUAUGAGGUGAGAGUGUGUACAAAGGAAACCCUGGGCAGUGUUGGUGGGAAUGCACGCUGGCACAGCCACUAUAAAAAAUAGCAUAGAGGUUCCUAAAAUAAUUACAAAUACAACUACAAUGCAAUCCAGUAUUUUCUUUUUGGGUAUUUAUCCAAAGAAAAUGAAAACUCUAUUUUGCAAAGAUACAUGCACCCCUAAUGUACACUGUGUAAUUAUUUACGAGAGACUAGCUAUGGAAGCAGCCUCGUGUCCAAGGGUAGAUGAAUGGAUAUAGAAGAUGUGGUGUGUAUACACAAUGGAAUGUUCCUUAAUUGUAAAAAGGAAGGAAAUCUUUCCAUUUGCAACAAUACAGAUGGAUCGAGAGAGUACAAUGCUGAAUGAAAUAAGUCAAGUAGAGACAAAUAAAUACUAUAGGAUUUCAUACAUAUGUGGAAUCCAAAAACCAGAACGAACCAACCAAACAGAACAGAACUAAAUAUCCAGUGCCUGUCAGAAGGCAAGGUGUGGAAGAAUGGUAAAAUGGGAUCAAAAGGCAUGUGAAAAGGUGCAAGAAUACAUUUGUAACAUAAAUAAGGCACAGGGACACAAGAAAUACACAAGGAACGCAGGAAAGCAGUUAAUAAUAUGCAACCAUUUUGUUUGCUGUAGAUGGUAGCUCGAUUUUUCUUGGUGAACCUUCACAAUGUAUAGAUAUGUUGAAUCACCAUGUUGUACACUUGAAACUAAUGUAAUAAUGUAGGUCAAGUAUGGUUUAAUCCAGGACCCAAAGAUCAUGACCUGAGCCACAAGCAGACACUUUGCCAACUGAAUCAUCCAAGAACUCCUGUAAAAGUUAUUUUUAAUCUUCCUUUGAAUAUACUUACACUUAACACCAAAAAAAAGUCCUUUCCAUUUUCAAAAAGCAGCUUCUCUCUCCAUAACUAAACAGGGUUUGUCAUUUAUUGAAUGAGAAAUCAAAAUGUCCUUUUAUAACAUGUCAAAGAAUGUUUAUAAUGAUAUUCAAUAAUCCAAAAUUUUCUACCUAAAUGUCACUUUCUCCUGCCAGAAAUCCAAAGUAACGUUCUUCAUAAGGGGCUGGGAGACCAUUUAUUAUGCAAGAAAACUAUAUGCCGCAUACCUUGUACCCAACCACAAUAUUCUCUCACCUUCUUUCCUUCAGCCACAUCACACUCUACAGUUUGUCCAUCUCCUACACUGUGCAGAUAUUUCCAUGACUUUUUCUUUUUGAUGGCAGUCUGUCAACAGAACAGAGAUUUGUAAGUGAAGCAACAUCAAUACUGGCCACAGAUUUCACCUUUCAAGUUUAUCUCCUAUAUUACUACUUUUUUACAUUAUCAUUCUCCCAGUAACCAGGAUCUCCAAUACAAUAACAAAAUAAACAACAACAAAACCACUGUAAAUCAGAUUUCCACAUUAUUUUCUUGAUUCACGCUACCUUUGGUAAUUCUUGAUAGGUGGAUUAAAUAGAAUGUUUAGUUACUACAUACUGUCGCUACAGCCUGAUGAUGAUAUGGGAUGGUAGUAGUUCCCUCAAGCUAUUCAGCAGCUACGAUUCUGACUGUACCUCCACACUGGUGGGGCAGGGGUGAAAUCUACCAAGUCCACAUUUCACCUAGAGAAGUUUCUAUAGAAAAAAGAAACUGCUACCCUCAAAAAGGAAUUGUAAACUCUGUGUAGGAGAGGAGGGAUGAUGAAGAAUGGAAAAAGGAAUUUAAGAAUACCAGUGGAUUAAGUAUUUCUGAUGGGAAUACACAAGAUUACCUCAGGAACGAAACAUUACUAAUAGCCAUAAUGUGGCCUCUUCCGUCCUGCCCUCCAUUUUAAGGAUAAGUUAAUAUGAGGCUCGUAAGUGAUUUACCUGAAGACCUAAAGGUACAGCCUGGAAGUACAGGGGGAGUAUGUAGGGGAAAUUCACAUCCCUGCACUGUAUGUAUGACUAUUUCUGCAAUAGUGGCCCCAUCACACCAUUCUCAUCUACUCACCCCUACACAUUCCGUGAUGAUGCAUUAAAAGGUUGAGGCAGAUACUAGGCUGCAUGAGACACCUGCACCUGAAAACACCAGGGGAAGGCACAGAAUAGUUUUUGCAAUGAAUUUCCGUUCCUUUCCUUGGUCUCUCUAAACAGUUAAAGGGGGUCAGAUUUUCUGUAGAACUAGGUCAACUUUAUUUUAUAAAGCAAUCAGGCAUGUGACCAUGAAAAGCUGUGAAAAUAUUCAAGGUUAAAGAAGGCUGAAGAAACAUGACAGCCAAAAUACAGUACUAGAAAGGAUCUGUGUUCUGUAGGAGAAAAACAUGCUUCACAAUCAUGGAUUAGGGGUAGCCUGGGUGGCUCAGCUGUUUAGCGCCACGUUCAGCCCAGAGCCUGAUCCUGGAGUCCUGGGAUCGAGUCCCACGUCAGGCUCCCUGCAUGGAGCCUGCUUCUCCCUUUGCCUGUGUCUCUGCCUCUCUCUCUCUCUCUCUCUCUCUCUGUGCCUCAUGGAUAAAUAAAUAAAAUCUUAAAAAAAUAAAAUAAAAUGAUGGAUUCGCAAUUAGGGAAUUCAGGCUGUAGAAUGUGAAAGUAUCAUAUGAAUGUUAAAUAUACUGAAGUUGUACAUAACUCUGGUUGCCUAAGAGGGUAUCACCAUUCUUAGGGAAUACACACUGAAAAGUUAGGGGUAAAAGGACAUGAUUUG